CCUACGGGGGGCUGCAGUGGGGAAUAUUGCACAAUGGGGGAAACCCUGAUGCAGCGACGCCGCGUGAGUGAAGAAGGAUUUCGGUACGUAAAGCUCUAUCAGUAGGGAAGAACAUGACGGUAACUGACUAAGCAGCCCCGGCUAAUUACGAGCCAGCAGCCGCGGUCAUACGUAGGGGGCAAGCGUUAUCCGGAUUUACUGGGGGUAAAGGGAGCGUAGACGGUAGCGUAUGUCUGGGGGGAAAUCCCAUGGCUUAAACAUGGAACUGCCUUGGAAACUGUGCAGCUGGAGUGCAGGAGAGGUAAGCGGAAUUCCUGGUGUAGCGGUGAAAUGCGUAGAUAUUAGGAGGAACACCAGUGGCGAAGGCAGCAUACCGGCGGCGAUCUGACGCUGAGGCACGAAAGCGUGGGUAUCGAACAGGAUUAGAUACCCGUGUAGUC
rnacentral:rRNA from 1 species